rnacentral:sRNA from 1 species
GCUGGGCAUGGUGGUGCAUGCCUGUAAUCCCAGUGGCUUGGGAGGCUGAGACAGGAGGAUUGCCGGCCUCAGCAAAAACGAGGUAGAAAGCAACUUAAUGAGAUCCUGUCUCUA